CCUUCGAUAGCUCAGUUGGUAGAGCGGUGGACUUAGUUUCCAUAGGUCGCUGGUUCAAAUCCGGCUCGAAGGA
rnacentral:tRNA from 1 species